rnacentral:tRNA from 1 species
UAAAUUAAGUACAAGUGAUUUCCAAUCACUUAACCUUGGUUAAAAUCCAAGGAAAAGUAAUGAACCUUAUC